rnacentral:rRNA from 1 species
GGGGACCAUCCUCCAAGGCUAAAUACUCCUGACUGACCGAUAGUGAACCAGUACCGUGAGGGAAAGGCGAAAAGAACCCCGGCGAGGGGAGUGAAAAAGAACCUGAAACCGUGUACGUACAAGCAGUGGGAGCCCCACCACUAAGCCAGUGGUGAACUCCACAUACGCAUCCUUUGCUGAAGGCAAUGGUUAACGGAGCGAAAGCGACGUUCAACCGCAAAACAAGCAGAGGGGGCUUAGUGGUGGGGUGACUGCGUACCUUUUGUAUAAUGGGUCAGCGACUUAUAUUCUGUAGCAAGGUUAACCGUAUAGGGGAGCCGGAGGGAAACCGAGUCUUAAUUGGGCGUUAAGUUGCAGGGUAUAGACCCGAAACCCGGUGAUCUAGCCAUGGGCAGGUUGAAGGUUGGGUAACACUAACUGGAGGACCGAACCGACUAAUGUUGAAAAAUUAGCGGAUGACCUGUGGCUGGGGGUGAAAGGCCAAUCAAACCGGGAGAUAGCUGGUUCUCCCCGAAAGCUAUUUAGGUAGCGCCUCGUGAAUUCAUCUCCGGGGGUAGAGCACUGUUUCGGCUAGGGGGCCAUCCCGGCUUACCAACCCGAUGCAAACUGCGAAUACCGGAGAAUGUUAUCACGGGAGACACACGGCGGGUGCUAACGUCCGUCGUGAAGAGGGAAACAACCCAGACCGCCAGCUAAGGUCCCAAAGUCAUGGUUAAGUGGGAAACGAUGUGGGAAGGCCCAGACAGCCAGGAUGUUGGCUUAGAAGCAGCCAUCAUUUAAAGAAAGCGUAAUAGCUCACUGGUCGAGUCGGCCUGCGCGGAAGAUGUAACGGGGCUAAACCAUGCACCGAAGCUGCGGCAGCGAACGUAUCACUUAAAGCGAUUCAGCGGGUUACGAUUGACGGAGCGAAGCGACGUCAAAGCGUAUACAAAGUCGAGUCGGUUUAAGGAUACGUUCGUUGGGUAGGGGAGCGUUCUGUAAGCCUGCGAAGGUGGCCUGUGAGGGUUGCUGGAGGUAUCAGAAGUGCGAAUGCUGACAUAAGUAACGAUAAAGCGGGUGAAAAGCCCGCUCGCCGGAAGACCAAGGGUUCCUGUCCAACGUUAAUCGGGGCAGGGUGAGUCGACCCCUAAGGCGAGGCCGAAAGGCGUAGUCGAUGGGAAACGGGUUAAUAUUCCCGUACUUGGUGUUACUGCGAAGGGGGGACGGAGAAGGCUAUGUUGGCCGGGCGACGGUUGUCCCGGUUUAAGCGUGUAGGCUGGUUUUCCAGGCAAAUCCGGAAAAUCAAGGCUGAGGCGUGACGACGAGGCACUACGGUGCUGAAGCAACAAAUGCCCUGCUUCCAGGAAAAGCCUCUAAGCAUCAGGUAACAC